rnacentral:rRNA from 1 species
AUUGAACGCUGGCGGCAGGCCUAACACAUGCCAGUCGAGCGGAUGAAGGGAGCUCGCUCCUGGAUUCAGCGGCGGACGGGUGAGUAAUGCCUAGGAAUCUGCCUGGUAGUGGGGGAUAACGUCCGGAAACGGGCGCUAAUACCGCAUACGUCCUGAGGGAGAAAGUGGGGGAUCUUCGGACCUCACGCUAUCAGAUGAGCCUAGGUCGGAUUAGCUAGUUGGUGGGGUAAAGGCCUACCAAGGCGACGAUCCGUAACUGGUCUGAGAGGAUGAUCAGUCACACUGGAACUGAGACACGGUCCAGACUCCUACGGGAGGCAGCAGUGGAGAAUAUUGGACAAUGGGCGAAAGCCUGAUCCAGCCAUGCCGCGUGUGUGAAGAAGGUCUUCGGAUUGUAAAGCACUUUAAGUUGGGAGGAAGGGCAGUAAGUUAAUACCUUGCUGUUUUGACGUUACCAACAGAAUAAGCACCGGCUAACUUCGUG